AUUGAACGCUGGCGGCAGGCCUAACACAUGCAAGUCGAGCGAGCGGCGGACGGGUGAGUAAUGUCUGGGAAACUGCCUGAUGGAGGGGGAUAACUACUGGAAACGGUAGCUAAUACCGCAUACCAUCAGAUGUGCGCAGAUGGGAUUAGCUAGUAGGUGGGGUAACGGCUCACCUAGGCGACGAUCCCUAGCUGGUCUGAGAGGAUGACCAGCCACACUGGAACUGAGACACGGUCCAGACUCCUACGGGAUGCAGCAGUGGGGAAUGUUGCACAAUGGGCGCAAGCCGGAUGCAGCCAUGCCGCGUGUAUGAAGAGGGCCUUCGGGUUGUAAAGUACUUUCAGCGGGGAGGCGUUACCCGCAGAAGAAGCACCGGCUAACUCCGUGCCAGCAGCCGCGGUAAUAC
rnacentral:rRNA from 1 species